UUAAUCUGAAAGGUCAUCUUCAGGAUCACAUGUUGGUUCACACAGGGGAUAAGCCAUUUGUAUGCAGUUUUUGUCAUAAACAAUUUACUCUUAAAGGUACUCUUAAGCGUCACUUGUUGGUCCACAAAGAAGGCCUUCGUUUGUGAAAGGCUCAAAGCUUAGUCCACUGGAGUUCCUAUUGUUUGUGGAACACUUGUGGGGGACAGAAAUAGAAUAUUAUACAUACAGCUAUGUAUUCUAAUAAACUUUUCAUUGUUAUAACAAUAUUUUGGUAUAAGGCCAACAGAAAAACUUUGCGAAGCCGAAGUUUCGCAAACUAAACAACCUUGUUCAGUUAACAUAUUCAUAUUGUAGAUAAAGCAUGCUAUAAAAUGCUUUUUGUUAUCAUUUAUUGAUUGUUUUUAUAUAAUAAUUACAUUUUCACUUAAGGACUUAAUCAUAUUUUUAGUUAUAGGAAAUGGGAACAAAUCCUAAAUAUUUUUUUCUUAUUUUAAGAGAACUUUUGUCUUCUAUUUGAUCAAAUGAUGAACUCUGUUCGCGAUUUUGGUGCGUUUUAUUGUGUUUGAAAAAAAAAUCCCAUGGGAAUUUUUUUCACAUUAGAUUUUUAUUUUUGGAUUUUUGACACAAUUUUUAAAGUUGAAUUAAAGAUGCCAAAUGCGAAUAAUUUUUUUUUUAUUGAUCUAUCAAAUGUCCUCUGCCAAGUACAACUGCUCUACCAUUAUUCCAUGUCAAAUACUUGUUUGUAUAUAUCAUUCAAAGUCACAUACACGUUAUUAAGAUCAAAUGACCCUCGUCAUUCGAAAAUGUGUCUUAUGUCAUAUUUGGUGAGCAUAGCUCAAUCUUAGCUGGUACAUUUGCAAGGUGAUUUUUUUAAACACAAACACAUUAAAAUUGCAUAGAUUGUUUAUAUUGUUCAUAAUUUGAUAUAAUAUAUCUGAUAAUUUAUCUGAUAAUAAUAAAUAAAGUUGAUUGUAAAAGUGACCAUUACAAAAGCCAUCAAACUAAAGCUCGUUUUUUAUAAAAUUUCUUUUGAUUUGGCUUUUUUUGUUUCCUUUAUGUUUAUCAAGCAAAUAGUUUUUUUAAAGAAUUUAUAUCCUUACUUAGUGAAAUGUGAUCUGUAAAGUGUGACAUUAACAAAUUAUUAUAAAAAUGUGUAAACAAUUGUGAUUUUGUGUUUAAUUACUCUUAAUAUUUGAUUUAUAUUAAAUAAAUAGUGUUUGUUUCAAA